rnacentral:rRNA from 1 species
CAGCUACCCAGCAAUGGGAUGCGAAUCUCGAAAGCCUGUCUCAGUUCGGAUUGGAGGCUGAAACCCGCCUCCAUGAAGUUGGAUUCGCUAGUAAUCGCGCAUCAGCCAUGGCGCGGUGAAUACGUUCCCGGGCCUUGUACACACCGCCCGUCAAGCCAUGGGAGCCGGGGGUGCCUGAAGUUCGUGACCGCAAGGAGCGACCUAGGGCAAAACUGGUGACUGGGGCAAAGUCGUAACAAGGUAGC